rnacentral:lncRNA from 12 species
GAGAAAUUGACUCAUCUGAUAUGCUAUGAGAAGGAAUUUAAGGGUAUGGCCCCAAAACCUGUGUUCUGACCAUCAGUCAAAAGCUCUGCUUCUUAUGGAUGAAGACAGCAGCUGGGAAAAACAGAAAAAGAAAAGAAAAAGGAGGUUUUCUUCUUCAUGUGUAAAUUUUCUGUAAGGAGAAUAAAACUUGAAAUUAACAUUUCCUGUGAUUUUGAAACGUAUAGGUUAUUAUUUGCCCCCAAUUAUUUUCUUAAUGACUGGGUCCCAUAGUAUAGUAAGUCACAGCACUUAAAAGUUCCCUCUAAG